UACGGAGGGUGAAAGCGUUGUCCGGAAUCACUGGGCGGAAAGGGCGCGUAGGCGGCUCAUGAAGGCUGUGGUGAAAGUCCGGGGCUCAACCUCGGAUCGGCCGUGGCGACUCGUGGGCUGGAGCACUGUAGAGGCGGGUGGAAUUCCGGGUGUAGCGGUGGAAUGCGUAGAGAUCCGGAAGAACACCAGUGGCGAAGGCGGCCCGCUGGGCAGUGGCUGACGCUGAGGCGCGACAGCGUGGGGAGCAAACAGG
rnacentral:rRNA from 1 species